rnacentral:lncRNA from 1 species
UUUUUUUUUUUUUUAAGAUUUAUUUAUUAUAUGUAAGUACACUGUAGCUGUCUUCAGACACACCAGAAGAGGGCGUCAGAUCUUGUUACAGAUGGUUGUGAGCCACCAUGUGGUUGCUGGGAUUUGAACUCCAGACCUUCGGAAGAGCAGUUGGGUGCUCUUACCCACUGAGCCAUCUCACCAGCCCCCUGACACUCAGCUUUUAAACUUUACUUUUCAUACAUGGGUUCUGAACUAGCGCUGUGUGGCAUGAAGCUAAGGCUUCCAUUGUGCUGUCUUCUUCUAUGGCUCCCCACCUCACUGACUGGCCUGUUCAUUACACUGUGUUGUUGUGUGUGAUGAAUGUGUAGGGGGCAGAGGACCCCUCUUACCCACCUUCACAUGGGUUCCAGUAUCAACUCAGGUCACCAGACUUGACUGGCAAGUGCCUUUUCAUGCUGAGCUAUCCCACUGGCCCUCGUUCACUUAGAAAUAGGAAUUCAUGAAGUCCAGGUUGGCCUUACCUUGCUAUGUUGCUAAGAAUGAUUUGUUCUGAUCAUCCUGCCUCUGAGACCCUGGAAUCUCAAGUGUGCUUCACCGGGGUGUGUGGGGUGCUAGGUAUGGAACUUGGGUUGUUCCAUGCUGGCCAACUGUUCUGCCAGAGGCAUAGCCUCAGCCCCUUCAUUUAUAUUUUAUGACAGGGUCUCUCACUGAACCUGGAAUUGGACCAUUUUGGCUAGACUGGUUGGCUAGCAAGCCCCCAGGAUCUGCCUACCACUGAUUCCCAAGUGCUUGGGCCACUGAUAUGUCUGGCCUUUUGUGAGUAUGGGGAUAUAAACUCAGGUCUUCAAGCUUGCACCAUAAACAGUUCACUCAC